GUGUUGCGUCACUUCCUGUCGGCAGCGUGUGUGAUGUCAUUAAACUUUUUCACAGCUGUAGCUAUACUAAGUUGAUUGUGUCGUGAUCUUUUUUAGUAUAAGCGGCGAAUUAUUUUCGUGGCGUUGUUAAACGCCUCACCGUGCAGCACUUUUUCGUUCAAUUGAAUAGUUGCUUAGACGUUGUUUAGCGUCAACGUUACCUCUAUUAGCAUUAGCUUAGUAGCUAAUCUUGUGACGUCUUCCCUCCCUACCUCUCCUGCUCCUGUUCUUGUUCGGUGUGUCAUAUGUUUAGCUAUUCCUCUGCCCCCCUUGCGGAUUAUGGUACAUGUAAGAAGUGUAGUAUAUUUGAUAGGUUGGAGGCGAGGCUUAGUGAGUUAGGAGCGCGGCUCCGCACCAUGGAGGCUCAGUCAAUAGCUGCUGUAGUUAACCAGCCAUCUCCCGUAGUCGGUGCGGACCACGUAGACGUAGCGUUCGCUCUCAAAUGAGCAACUGAAAAUAUUUUGGAUGGCCAAAAUGCCGAACUCAAUUAUGCCUGCUUAUUUCUAUAUAAAAAGCAGUAAAUGUCAUUGUUUUGACCGCUGGUAAUCGUGUGUUAUUUGGCAAUUAAAAGGUGAGUUUACCCUUCAAAAUGAUCAUUUAUUCAAAUAGAAUUUACAAAAUGUGAAGCAUUUGACUCUUUCAGUCACAUUAAUAACAUGGCAUUUUGAGUUUCAUAUACUACUGAAACCAGCAUUUUGUUAGCUUUCUAAAGACAUCACAUCUUUGUAGCCAAAAUGAACAAGACAUGUCACUGAACCGUGUAAAGAAAAGUGUCCCAGUUUUGUAGCCUUUUUGACUUUAAAUGCCUAUAUUAAACCUUUAAUCUUUAGCUAGAUCAAGUGUUUUAUUUCACUUGUUAUAUUCCCACAUUUUAGUUUUCUUCAAUUCUUUCUGUUUUUCAUUCAGUGUGAGAAAUCCAGUCUCUGUUGAGCUUUAACAAGUCCAUCAAAGUCUGGCUGAAUGUCUUAGGUGGAGAUGCUACAUAUGUAGGUGGAUCCAAAGAGAACCAACAUCUUCUGAGCAUGUCUCCUCAUGUUUGGAAAGUUCUCCUCCUUGAGAGCAAAGUAGAACUCUAGCAGUGAUGCUGACUUAAAGUGCUCUUUCAGGAGUCAAUCAGACUGCAGGUCAAUGAGUUCAAGCUGAACAUCAGUAAAGAAAAGGCUGCAGUGACCGUCCAGGACAGCUGCUAUGAAGUCCAGAGGUUCCUCCUCCUGGAGGGAGAAAGACCUCAGCUCCAUCUGGAGCAGGAUGACAGAGGAGUGUCGAUAAGAAGAAAGAGGAAGUAGAGAAGAGGGGUUUAGAGAGGAAGAAGGAGGAGGUGGAUGAGGUCCAGAAGCUCCACGUGAAGCUCAAACAGGUGCAGCAACGUUGGGACAAAGAGUGUCUGGCCAGAGACAAACGACAGUGCCAGCAGGAGAGUGUGCUGGAGCAGCGGUGCCUCCUAGAGGCCGAGCGGCUGCGCUGCGAGCGUGAGGAGCUCGAGGCUCAGCUGCUGGAGUACCAGCAGAGCCUGGAACGACUGAGGGAGGGCCAGAGGAGCGUGGAGAAGGAGAUCGAAGCCCAGCAGAGGCUGCUGCAGCGCUGGAGACACCACCGGCAGAGCAGCCUGCCUGUGACCAUACCGCUGGAUGGGUACAAGGUGUCCGGCCACAGCCGCUCGGGCAGCCUGGACGGCAACCUUUCUGUGUACGAGAACAAGGCCACCAUGCUCGCAUCCCUCCAGCAGAGUCACCCACCCCCGCCGCCGCCCCUCUGACGACAACCAGCAGCAGCAGCAGCAUCUGCUCUCUGCC